rnacentral:misc_RNA from 1 species
UCGUAAAGGUGCAUGAGUGGUGUUUGGUUUGUUACGGGUGGUUGGCUCUUUGCUUGCGCAACAACUUCCACCUGGCAUACCUCUUCAGUUUUGCAUCAGUGCUUGUAUCGCACUGAAUGUAAGUUGGGUUUCCUGUGUUGCAUACCAAAUCGAUGGUAUCGAUUGAUCCGAUGAUGUCCCUUAUUCGUCUUGUGUUGCACUGCAAUACGAGAUGAACCUUGAAGUAACCUUUAUGAUCCACUCUUUUGAUGCACAAGCGUUGAUAGUGUGGCCCAUUAAGUUUGCUUGGUCUCAUGGGUAUGGAACCUAGUGUGGGCAUGGGAUCUUAGCCGUUCCCUAAUUGCCCUUAUCUAAGCUUCUGUAAUACGAUUAGCUACCAUAUAGGGCAUGUCUCUAUGUGGUAGUCUAUGUCGAAGAUGGAUGCUACCUGGUUGAUCCUGCCAGUAGUCAUAUGCUUGUCUCAAAGAUUAAGCCAUGC